GAACUGAAGAGUUUGAUCAUGGCUCAGAUUGAACGCUGGCGGCAGGCCUAACACAUGCAAGUCGAGCGGAUGAAGGGAGCUUGCUCCUGGAUUCAGCGGCGGACGGGUGAGUAAUGCCUAGGAAUCUGCCUGGUAGUGGGGGAUAACGUCCGGAAACGGGCGCUAAUACCGCAUACGUCCUGAGGGAGAAAGUGGGGGAUCUUCGGACCUCACGCUAUCAGAUGAGCCUAGGUCGGAUUAGCUAGUUGGUGGGGUAAAGGCCUACCAAGGCGACGAUCCGUAACUGGUCUGAGAGGAUGAUCAGUCACACUGGAACUGAGACACGGUCCAGACUCCUACGGAGGCAGCAGUGGGGAAUAUUGGACAAUGGGCGAAAGCCUGAUCCAGCCAUGCCGCGUGUGUGAAGAAGGUCUUCGGAUUGUAAAGCACUUUAAGUUGGGAGGAAGGGCAGUAAGUUAAUACCUUGCUGUUUUGACGUUACCAACAGAAUAAGCACCGGCUAACUUCGUGCCAGCAGCCGCGGUAAUACGAAGGGUGCAAGCGUUAAUCGGAAUUACUGGGCGUAAAGCGCGCGUAGGUGGUUCAGCAAGUUGGAUGUGAAAUCCCCGGGCUCAACCUGGGAACUGCAUCCAAAACUACUGAGCUAGAGUACGGUAGAGGGUGGUGGAAUUUCCUGUGUAGCGGUGAAAUGCGUAGAUAUAGGAAGGAACACCAGUGGCGAAGGCGACCACCUGGACUGAUACUGACACUGAGGUGCGAAAGCGUGGGAGCAAACAGGAUUAGAUACCCUGGUAGUCCACGCCGUAAACGAUGUCGACUAGCCGUUGGGAUCCUUGAGAUCUUAGUGGCGCAGCUAACGCGAUAAGUCGACCGCCUGGGAGUACGGCCGCAAGGUUAAAACUCAAAUGAAUUGACGGGGGCCCGCACAAGCGGUGGAGCAUGUGGUUUAAUUCGAAGCAACGCGAAGAACCUUACCUGGCCUUGACAUGCUGAGAACUUUCCAGAGAUGGAUUGGUGCCUUCGGGAACUCAGACACAGGUGCUGCAUGGCUGUCGUCAGCUCGUGUCGUGAGAUGUUGGGUUAAGUCCCGUAACGAGCGCAACCCUUGUCCUUAGUUACCAGCACCUCGGGUGGGCACUCUAAGGAGACUGCCGGUGACAAACCGGAGGAAGGUGGGGAUGACGUCAAGUCAUCAUGGCCCUUACGGCCAGGGCUACACACGUGCUACAAUGGUCGGUACAAAGGGUUGCCAAGCCGCGAGGUGGAGCUAAUCCCAUAAAACCGAUCGUAGUCCGGAUCGCAGUCUGCAACUCGACUGCGUGAAGUCGGAAUCGCUAGUAAUCGUGAAUCAGAAUGUCACGGUGAAUACGUUCCCGGGCCUUGUACACACCGCCCGUCACACCAUGGGAGUGGGUUGCUCCAGAAGUAGCUAGUCUAACCGCAAGGGGGACGGUUACCACGGAGUGAUUCAUGACUGGGGUGAAGUCGUAACAAGGUAGCCGUAGGGAACCUGCGGCUGGAUCACCUCCUUA
rnacentral:rRNA from 1 species